GAGCACGUAGGUGGGUUUGUAAGUCAGAUGUGAAAGCCUUCUGUUCAACGGAAGAAUUGCAUCUGAAACUACAAACCUUGAGUAUAGGAGGGGAGAAUGGAACUUCUGGUGGAGCGGUGAAAUGCGUAGAUAUCAGAAGGAACGCCGGCGGGGAAAGCGAUUCUCUGGCCUAUUACUGACACUCAGUGUGCGAAAGCUAGGGGAGCAAACGGGAUUAGAUACCCCGGUAGUCCUAGCCGUAAACGAUGGGCACUAAGUAGAGGGG
rnacentral:rRNA from 1 species